AGAGAAUAGAUACCCCGGUAGUCCAUGCCGUAAACGUUGGGCACUAGGUGUGGGGGACAUUCCACGUUUUCCGCGCCGUAGCUAAACGCAUUAAGUGCCCCGCCUGGGGAGUACGGCCGCAAGGCUAAAACUCAAAGGAAUUGACGGGGGCCCGCACAAGCGGCGGAGCAUGCGGAUUAAUUCGAUGCAACGCGAAGAACCUUACCAAGGCUUGACAUGGACCGGAUCGCUGCAGAAAUGUGGUUUUCUCCUUUUGGGGCCGGUUCACAGGUGGUGCAUGGUUGUCGUCAGCUCGUGUCGUGAGAUGUUGGGUUAAGUCCCGCAACGAGCGCAACCCUCGUUCCAUGUUGCCAGCACGUGAUGGUGGGGACUCAUGGGAGACUGCCGGGGUCAACUCGGA
rnacentral:rRNA from 1 species